UGGGGAAUAUUGCACAAUGGGCGCAAGCCUGAUGCAGCCAUGCCGCGUGUAUGAAGAAGGCCUUCGGGUUGUAAAGUACUUUCAGCGGGGAUGAAGGGAGUAAAGUUAAUACCUUUGCUCAUUGACGUUACCCGCAGAAGAAGCACCGGCUAACUCCGUGCCAGCAGCCGCGGUAAUACGGAGGGUGCAAGCGUUAAUCGGAAUUACUGGGCGUAAAGCGCACGCAGGCGGUUUGUUAAGUCAGAUGUGAAAUCCCCGGGCUCAACCUGGGAACUGCAUCUGAUACUGGCAAGCUUAAGUCUCGUAGAGGGGGGUAGAAUUCCAGGUGUAGCGGUGAAAUGCGUAGAGAUCUGGAGGAAUACCGGUGGCGAAGGCGGCCCCCUGGACGAAGACUGACGCUCAGGUGCGAAAGCGUGGGGAGCAAACA
rnacentral:rRNA from 1 species